UGUGUAGCCAGUGGGACUGGGAACAGUGUAUAAUUUGCCUCGAAUAGGCAUUGGUCGAGCUUCCCGGGUUUUCUAGACGGGCAGGUAUAUGGGCAGCUAUGGGGGUCCUGGUUAGCAUGAGCAGCGGUGCUAGCACUAUUGACGGCGUUCAGCGCGAGGUACAGCAGCAAUCCGGGAGUAGAAGGACUAGACUGGGACUGAGGUGCUGGUCGGAGCGGCUGGGUAUGUGUGUGUGCUGGCGUUAGUGUGCCGCGGCACUGAGUAAUAUAGAGAGCUCUGAAGUUAACGACAGCUGAACUGCAGUACGCCGUGCUACUACGCUGACUGGGAGAACGAUAAACGUGCUGUUUGUGUGUGGGGUAUGUAUAUCAACAUUUAGCUGAAUAAUGUAUAACCUAUAUUCUUAUAUUGUCUGGCUUAGCUGGUGUUUGUUUUCCGUGGUUUAAAUAACGUGAAUAUUUUAAUUUAAACGUGUGUUAUUCUCUUGCCCCUCUGUGUUAACAGAUGCCAGAUUCGUUUAAUAGGGCUAGCUGCUGUUUUCUUUUAGCUGAUGUUUUCUUUUAGACGUUUUUUGUAAAGGUAUUUUUACAGCAAUUGCUGUUUCUGUUUACAAAAUAAGUGUAUGUGCU